GUUUUCUUAUCUUGAACAUCAUGUACUGUUCCAGCCCACAGCCAGCCACCCAGGAAGGAAGCAUUUUUUUCCUUUUAGACAGAGGGUCUGGCCAGCCAUAUGGCCACGUUGUUGAAAGGCUCUGGAUCCCAGCAGGCCAUCUGACCCUGGGACUUGAAUCCCUUUCUCAGAAACCCCUGUGGGGAGAAGGCACAAUAAAGAGGAGUAAAUAAAUACAGAGAUGAGGGAACCCUCCUGCAGCCAUCCCUGCCCUGGCUCACACAGGUGAACAGAAAUUGUAGGAAAUUGCAAAGCAACCUCUGAUAAUGAACAUCUUGCCAGGAAAAUGUAUCUGAUCUCUGAGGAAAGGUGUUGGAAGAGAUGGGAGACGGCAGGAGGAUUGUCUCAAACACAAGUCUGAGUUCUUUUGACAGCAAUGUCUCCCUGUUUCUGAAAUAUAGAGAAUUCGACUGAAGAAGCGAGGAAGUUUUGGAGACAUAAUCAGAAAGAGAGAAAUGCAGACAAAGAAGUUGUUGAAACUAGCUCACUUCUCUUCAUGCUAUUUUCAGAAUUUUUCUUUACAUCUUGCACUAAAAACAACCCCGCGCAAAAGACAAACCUUUUCCAGAUGUUUUGGUGAAUUCACUUUUAUUCUCCAUGGGCAAUAAUAACCAGUUUUUGUUUAAGGCCUUAUGAUUUAAAAAGCAUGCACUACUAAUAUUUACAAUAAUAACAUUUUUGAUGUUUACAAGAAUCCCUUAAAAUUGCUGUUAUUUUUAUUUACUAUUAUCAUACUGACUUUUUCAAAUAAGACAAUUGAAAUUCAGUCUCUUUUUAAUCAUCCAAGUAAUAAGCAGUGGAAGAGGCACUUUAAAAUACAAAUUAUUAAACUCUGAAUUCUCUGCCUUUCUUCCUCCUUUUGCAUGACAAUAGGGUAAAAUGAGACUAGCAUGUUUUAAUAAAUAAAUUUUUAUUUGCUUUUUUGAGUAAGAGCUUGGAGAAAUCUAAUAUGUCAUUUUGUGUACUCUUAAAAAUCCUUUGCUUGAAGAAUCUAAUGACUUUUAUGUCUAUGGAUUUAUAUAUUAUUUGCACCAUUUUGAAAUAUUUAGGAAAGGAGAGAAUAUAAUUAUUUGCCAUGAAAAUAAACUAACACUAUCAGGACAGGAGUCGAUGCCAACCAAAGCAUCCUAUUGCCCCAUACGCUGUUGCUGGCAUUGAUGAAAGUUGAGGAUUGGAAGAAGCAGAAUCAGCCAGCCUCGUGUAGAUUUCAACUGGAAUCUGGGCUGUUCCUCUAGGGUGCACCAGGGGCCUUCCUCCUCCCCUCACUUUCUUCCAUUCCCCACUCAGCAGUUUCAGAGGUUGACAAGAAUUCAGCUCAGUCAGGCAAAUGUUGGUUUAUAACACGAACACUGACCAUCUUACAAUGAGAGAGGGGAAGCAAAGAGAGAUUGCCAGACAUCUACAGUAAAUCAAAAGACGAUGUCGGGAUCUUUCCAUGAUGCCAAGUGCUUGCUACUGAUGGGUUUUUCUCCUGAAGUAACUUUUAGCUACAUUUACAGAUUUUCAGAGGAAAGAACCCCUGUAGCCAUGUUUUCCCCCAAAGAUCAGGCUCCCUUUCCACCUCAGAAUGGCUUCUCACAAAUACAGUAGUUCUUCAACAACAGAUGGGUCUAAGUUGAAAGAGACCUUGUCAUUGAUCCAGUGGCAUGAGGACUUCUUCAAGUGUACAUGUGGAUCUGAUGGUCACGGAGGGACCACACGACAUUGAUGCAGUUCCUCUUAAUGGGCCAGCUCUUCAUCAGCCCUGAUGUUCAGGCACCCAUGUUUAAGAUGCAGCCCCCCAGCAAGACCAGCAUGAGUGCCACAGAGCUUUGUGGAGACUCGCCAACAUAAUAGGCCAGUAUUUGGGAGAUUAUGUGAUUUCAGUUUCAUACCAUCUGUCCCCAGAUUUCCUUCACUACCAGGCUGGCCACUGGCUUUGGAGGACAGUCAAAAUCC
rnacentral:lncRNA from 1 species